rnacentral:rRNA from 1 species
AUUGAACGCUGGCGGCAGGCCUAACACAUGCAAGUCGAGCGGAUGAAGAGAGCUUGCUCUCUGAUUCAGCGGCGGACGGGUGAGUAAUGCCUAGGAAUCUGCCUGGUAGUGGGGGACAACGUUUCGAAAGGAACGCUAAUACCGCAUACGUCCUACGGGAGAAAGUGGGGGAUCUUCGGACCUCACGCUAUCAGAUGAGCCUAGGUACGAUUAGCUAGUUGGUGAGGUAAAGGCUCACCAAGGCGACGAUCGUUAACUGGUCUGAGAGGAUGAUCAGUCACCCUGGAACUGAGACACGGUCAAGACGCCUACGGGAGGCAGCAGUGGGGAAUAUUGGACAAUGGGCGAAAGCCUGAUCCAGCCAUGCCGCGUGUGUGAAGAAGGUCUUCGGAUUGUAAAGCACUUUAAGUUGGGAGGAAGGGCAGUAAGUUAAUACCUUGCUGUUUUGACGUUACCGACAGAAUAAGCACCGGCUAACUUCGUGCCAGCCGCCGCCGUAACAC